rnacentral:rRNA from 1 species
GGGUGCGAUCAUACCGGCCCUAACACAUCGGAUCCCGUUGGAACUCCGAAGUUAAGCGCACUUGGGCGAGAAUAGUACUAACAUGGGCUUUGUCACAUGACUUUCACUGA